UAACAAGGAUUCCCCUAGUAACGGCGAGUGAAGAGGGAAAAGCUCAAAGUUGGAACCUGUUUGGCUUAGCUAAACCGGAUUGUAAACUAAAGAGCCGUUUUCCAGACGAGCUAAGCAAAAAAGUCCCUUGGAACAGGGCAUCAUAGAGGGUGAGAAUCCCGUCUUUGGCUUAAGCGAUUUCGUCUUUAUGUGAUACGGCUUCAAAGAGUCAGGUUGUUUGGGAAUGCAGCCUAAAGUGGGUGGUAAAUCUCAUCUAAAGCUAAAUAUUGGCGAGAGACCGAUAGCGAACAAGUACCGUGAGGGAAAGAUGAAAAGAACUUUGAAAAGAGAGUUAAACAGUAUGUGAAAUUGCUGAAAGGGAACCGUUUGAGGUUAGACUAGCUGGUCAGUAAUCAAUCUUGGUUUCGACCAUGAUGCACUUGCUGGCCUUUGGCUAGCCAACGACAGUUUUUUCUGUAGGAAAAAAUGUGCAGGAAUGUGGCUCUUCGGAGUGUUAUAGCCUGCUAUAGAAUACUACGGAAGAGACUGAGGCUCGCAGCGAACGCUAUUAUGGCGAGGAUCAGGUUAACUUUGUGAUAAUGUGUGCUACUACUCAGCUUGCUGCGGUAAUGCAUGUUGUUGUUUGGUAUUGGCUUGUUUACCUUUAGUUCGCUUGGGUCGUUGGCUUAAUGACCUUAAAUGA
rnacentral:rRNA from 1 species